AAGGAUCACUAGUGAUUUAAAUACUUGUUAGAGUCUCGUAAGAGCUCUUCAAGUCCCUUCACAUCCACAUACACCCUGUGCUCUUGGCUGCUCUUCGGAAACCGUAAGGUAGAAACGAGAGUAGUUCAACCCCCCUUUUUAAUUAAACUCAGUAUAAUGAAUGUAAACAAGUUUUAAUAAACAUAAUAAAACUUUCAACAACGGAUCUCUUGGCUCUC
rnacentral:misc_RNA from 1 species